rnacentral:rRNA from 1 species
UACGAAGGGGGCUAGCGUUGUUCGGAAUUACUGGGCGUAAAGGGCGCGCAGGCGGCUCUUCAAGUCAGAUGUGAAAGCCCCGGGCUCAACCUGGGAACUGCAUUUGAGACUGGAGAGCUCGAGUUCGGGAGAGGAGAGCGGAAUUCCCAGUGUAGAGGUGAAAUUCGUAGUAGUAAUUGGGAAGAACACCGGUGGCGAAGGGCGGCUACUCUGGACCGAUACUGACGCUGAGGCGCGAAAGCGUGGGGAGCAAAGCAGG